GCAUUCCAUCAUCUGGGUUUGAAUCUGGCCAUGACACUGAAAGGCCACUAUCAGAUCACCUCAGAGAACUCUCCAGUCUGAAGAGCCCCAGCUCUCUCAGCCUGUCCUCACAGGAGAGGUUUUUCCAUCCCUUGGAUCAUUUUUGUGGCCCUCCUCUGGAUGCUCUCCAACAGGUCCACGUCUCUCCUGUACAGAGGACUCCACAUCUGGACACAGUACUCCAGAUGAAACUGAACUGCUGCAGACUUGAAUGAGGGUGAUGGGAACUGGGAGACAAGUCUGAAGAGCUGGUUUUGGUAUGCACCAGUGAGCAGCAGAAACCAAAGAGGGAUUGGUGCCGUUGGAAGAAGACUGUCUUCCACCUACCUACAGUUUCCACCACUAUAUCCAUUCUCCAGCCUGGCAGCAGUAACGCAACUAAGCUUGGCUCUGGCAUGGGCAAAAAAGGGAAGAGAACCUGCUUGUUUUGUUGUCAGAGCAGCAACUGCCAUAAAUAUCAUUCUGUUUUGCUUGUUCCUCAGGAGUACCAGGCUGCUCUGUACAUCUUCAAAGAUGCUGAUUAAAUCCAGUCUUUACAGCUUCAUAGAAAACCAAAUCAUGUGAAUUCAACUCGGUAAUAGAGGAACAGCUGGACUGACUACCAGAGUUACAGAAGUCAUCUGGAAGCAGAAUUUUACAUGUGAACGAGUUGAAAAUUUUAAUUAGGCUUUUAAAGAUCACCAGUCUUUGUGUGGCAUAAACUUGGUAGCUUGUUCUAUCAUGCAAUUUCAAAUAUGACACCUUCAGUAUAUUAGUAAAAAAAAAAUGUAGUGUUAUUCACAUGUAUGACUUCAAGCAUGAAUUUAUUAAACUCAGCUUCACUGUCUAUCGGGUAGUCUUCUCAGCUACAGAGUGAGAAAUGGGAUACUGAACAUUUAAAAGUUAAUGUGAUCCUCUUGCUGUCAGAUUUCAACUUAGUGUCUGGAAAAGAAGUCAUGGAGAGUAGGCAAGAAGGCUCAACACUUUGCAUAAGGCCAGAGCCAUAUGCCUUCAUUCAAAGUGACAUAAUUCUUCUAUGUGGAAUCCUGAAUCAGAGUUUUGUUCAUAUUUGGAAUACAUAUGUAUUUGUUGAUGGCAAAGCAUUACUGACAUUAAUUAAACUUCCUCAUGUAUUUUUUUUUAAGUAGAUAGAUUUAUACAGAACUAGAUAAGGUCUUGAACCUCAUCAGGAAAGCCCCUACUUCAGUCCAGUAGUUUUCCAUUGAGUGUUAGUGAUACAAAGAUACCAUGGAUGAGGAAUAAACAUAGGUCUGGAGAUGUAAGUGUACUGUGACUUGUUCUUACUGCUAUUUGUAUUUCAGAAACUAACAGAUUGCAAUCAUAUAAAAACAUUUUUGUUUACAGGCACUGCUCAUAUCUCUGUUUUCCCAACAUGAAACAAAGCCUCCACCUCACCAAGCUAACAAGUGGAAUAGACAGAAGGAAAUAAAAAGAAAGGAGUGUUGAGGAGAUGAAGCAGAAGUUCUGGCUAGAGUAGUAGGUUCAGAAGUGCUUCUGAGGUGAUCACAUCCUCGAUCUUAUCUCCAGCUUUGUCAGGUUAGCACAAAUCACAGGGGCACCUGCAGUAUUCUUCUUCCCACUGCCACCAAAUAUGAUGAUGGGUACAUGAGCAGGUCAGCUACACCUGUGAGAGUAUCAGGCAUCCUAUGGUCCCAAGGUCCAUUCUCUGUACCUCAGAUGACUCAUGGACGUGUCUGUGCUACAAACUCUCCUAAGCCAUCAGCACAGGGUGACCACAUGUCAGCCACCAAGCGGUAGACCCCACCCAUGCUACUUCCCAAGCUGUGCCUGAGCUGAGAUUGGAAAGUGGUCCAGGACAAAAGUGUGCCAGGGACAGGCGGUGUGUAGCUGAGAGCCCAUCAUAGCUCAGUGUGUCAGAAACAACGCACUGAGAGAGAUGCAUGAAAGUAGGGCUUUAGGUAGUCAAGGUGCUGACCUUUCUUGGUUGGCUGUUAUUAUUUUCCCAAAUAAGAAUUCGAGAUCACUUAAUACAUUCCAAGCUCAUUUUGAGGGUGCUGCUAAACAGAAGACCUCAGGAAGGCAAAAACUAGAGAGGAACAAGAUCUGAGAGGGAUGAUGGUGCUCAAGAGGGGUGUCUCACUCAAAGCACAGAUGCUCUGGGGAAAAAGAAAUGAAAUUAAUCACACCAAAGAGAUUUAUUUGUCAGAGCUUCUCCAAUGAUUGCUCUCAAAAGUCAGAAAAAAAUUGAAGAGGGCCUGUGCUUCAAAACUCAAGGACUUUGCAUGUCUUUGUUGAGCCCAAAUCACACAAUGGAAAAUAAAUGCAAAUAUAACUCAAUGCCAGGCAGAUGCUCCACAUCUGAAAAUUCUCUCUUGCUUUCAAAUGCACCUUAGUGGGAAUAGUUUGUCACAUUGAUCUUUCAAAAAACUCAGGAUUUGGUUAUUAUCAUCAUUAUUUUACUUUUUUUUCCACAUUGACUUGCCAUAAAUUAUUAAGCUGUCUCUUAAACUGCUCCAGCUGUGCAUUGUAGAGUUAUAUUCUAUGUCAAACUUGUAAUAAAACACACAGCUAG
ensembl:lncRNA